GACGAACGCUGGCGGCGUGCUUAACACAUGCAAGUCGAACGGAGUGGCGAACGGGUGAGUAACACGUGGGUGACCUGCCCUGCACUUCGGGAUAAGCCUGGGAAACUGGGUCUAAUACCGGAUAGUGUGGGAUGGGCCCGCGGCCUAUCAGCUUGUUGGUGGGGUAAUGGCCUACCAAGGCGGCGACGGGUAGCCGGCCUGGGAGGGUGGACGGCCACAUUGGGACUGGGGAACGGCCCAGAGUGCUACGGGAGGCAGCGGUGGGGAAUAUUGCGCAAUGGGCGGAAGCCGGAUGCAGCGCCGCCGGGUGGGGGAUGACGGCUUUCGGGUUGUAAACGCCUUCCACCAUCGACGCGGUAGAUGGAGAAGAAGCACCGGCUAACUCCGUGCCAGCAGCCGCGGUAAUAC
rnacentral:rRNA from 1 species